rnacentral:misc_RNA from 1 species
GAAAUGCGAUAAGUAAUGUGAAUUGCAGAAUUCAGUGAAUCAUCGAAUCUUUGAACGCACAUUGCGCCCGCCAGUAUUCUGGCGGGCAUGCCUGUUCGAGCGUCAUUACAACCCUCAGGCCCCCGGGCCUGGCGUUGGGGAUCGGCGGAAGCCCCCUGCGGGCACAACGCCGUCCCCCAAAUAUAGUGGCGGUCCCGCCGCAGCUUCCAUUGCGUAGUAGCUAACACCUCGCAACUGGAGAGCGGCGCGGCCACGCCGUAAAACACCCAACUUCUGAAUGUUGACCUCGAAUCAGGUAGGAAUACCCGCUGAACUUAAGC